CUCAUUUUGUCCUAAAAAUUUCCCUUUGCCCUCUCUAAUUCUGAAUUUGCUCAUUAUUUCUAAAACCUCUUUAUUCUACCUUUCAGUACUCCUCCAUUGUUCUGCAGUAAAUACCACGUCCUUAAAGAGUCUGCCUGUAACAUAAGUAGAUUGACUAGCAUGGAGAUGUCAUAGGUGAUGAAAUCAGCAAUCAACAACAUGAAAAUGCUUGCAGAAUUGCCUGGAUGAAGACAGGAAGGACUGGGCAUGAUACAAGAACCUCAAUAAAACACAGCCAAGAGGACCAGCGAGAUGGCUCACAGACUAAAGGCAUUUAUGACAAAGACCAACAACCUGAGUUUAGUCACCAAAGCCCUCACUGUGGGACAAGAAACAACUUCUGCCCGUGGUCCUCACCUCCGCAUGAGCACCACUGCAUGCCUGUGCCUCCUCCCCAACUGCACACAUAAGAAUAAAUACAUGUAAAUUGCCUGUUUGUCUGAAGACAUAUCUGCUGAUUGGAUUCUUGAUCAUUGUCUCUCUAAAGAAUCAAACAUCCUCUAGUUGCCAGGCAGCCAAGAGUCAGGCUCUCAGCCAUGUGCUCUUGCCAAGGAUUCUUGGUGACGUUUGGGGUUUUCCCAAAAGAGUUGGAUUCUAGAUACUUAUCCUUCAACCGGUGAUGACUUUCCGAGACCACAGGUAGUUGGUUGUGCAGCUCUCUUCCUUUGUGAGCAAAGAAUGUUCCAUCGCUGGCCCACAUUUUGUGCCUCUUUCUCAAGGAGCAGAUGUUGCCAUUCUCAGCAUGAAUCUAAGACUGACCUCAGAUGACUGUGUAAACAAAGCUGAUUUGUGGGAGAAAAAUAUGGCAAACCCUGAAAUUUGAUGAGCGCUCUUUAUUAAAAUUAGCUAUAAACUGUA